GACGAACCGUGCGAACGUUAUUCGGAAUCACUGGGCUUAAAGCGCGUGUAGGCGGGUCGGCGCGUCGGCCGCUGAAAUCUCCCGGCUCAACUGGGAGGGUGCGGUGGAGACUGCCGGACUGGAGGCACUCAGAGGCCGGUGGAAUUCCCGGUGUAGUGGUGAAAUGCGUAGAGAUCGGGAGGAACACCAGUGGCGAAGGCGGCCGGCUGGGGGUGACCUGACGCUGAGACGCGAAAGCGUGGGGAGCGAACAGG
rnacentral:rRNA from 1 species